UGCAAAAUAGGAUUUUGUGCGUCAAGUGUUCAGUGGAUGGGGAGUUGCCGCCGAAACGAAAAGCUCGUCUUACGAUGCAGAAUCCGCACCCGUUGCA
rfam:Blautia sp. An249 An249_contig_5, whole genome shotgun sequence.